ACACACACACAAGCACAUACACACGCGCGCGCGCGCACACACACACACGCAUGCACGCGCGCACACACACGCACACACACAGACACACACACCCGCCCGCUCGGCUCCGCUCCCGAGCUGCCUCAGCAAGGAGGAGCCCGGACGGAAAACACCCGGGCAGCAAGGAUUUGGAAGUGGAGUUCCUGGAGAGUGAUCCUGGUAUGAGUGCGUGUUUCAGCGAAAGCUGAGGCUGCUUGUUGUUUACUAGGAGUCUGAGAAGAGAGGGGACCCUGGAUGUCAGUUCAUUCCCCGUUUUUUAUUUGUCUUGACUUUGAGGCAGACUUUCAGCUCUGGAAACUGACAGGUAAGGGAAGUAAAUCAUUCUGACACCUGAAAAGUCCAGGAUCUUUCUAGAAAAUGGUGGAGCUUCUCUCAUCACUAAUUUUCUAUAGCCAAAGAAGCCCCGGCUGCCUACUGUGUGGGAAGAGAGGCUCUAAACCAUAAACAGGCCAAUAAUACAUCACACCAUCUGAUUACAAUGAAUGUGAAAGCAAAAGAUGGUUGGAAAGGUGCUGGUGAAAGGUUGUUUCAACUGGAGCAGAGGAGAGAAGGUUGUCCAACAUGUUUGAAACUACAACUUGAUCCACAGUCUGUUGAGGCCAGUAAGGGUCUUCCCUUGGCAUCUGAAGGCUUCUGAUCAGUUGUGUCAGUUCCUCAAGACAAAGACCCUAUCUUUUGAGUCAGUCGGUGUGUGGUUUACGUUGGUAAGUGCUUAGUAAAUUAGGUGAGUUUGCUGCGUUAGAGACAGAAGAUGUGUUGCAAGUUCAUAACUGCUCUUAACUACAUAGUGAAGACCUUGCUCAGAUCAUGAUUCUACGAAUACAGCGAAUAAUAAGUGAAAUUCAAACUCUGAAACUAUGCAAUUAAUUUCCGUUCCGGAGAACUAAGAGAAUACAGCAAGAAUGGGUUAUCAGGUACUGAGGUGACCAACCUUUCUAAAAUAUGCCAGCAUGCAAGCUUUUGCUGAGUAAACUAUAAACUUCUACACUAUUGCAGAAUGACUGUCAGUUCCUGCCUCAUAAAAUCUAAAUGUAACUUUUUUCAAAGAGUUAAUCAGAGUACACCACCAAGAAUAAGUCAUUUCAAGAAUUACCAUCAACGAACUCAUCUGAACCUAGCCCAGCUACUGCCUGCAGCUUCAAACAGAUGCAGCACUUACUCCAGGCACUCUCCCAUUCCUCACUGUCCAUCACACCUCUCUGGAAAAUGGGAAGAGCAACUGUUACAGCUACAGAGAAGUCUGCAGAAGGGUUGACAUCAAAGCUGUGUUUUUCCUUUCUCAGUGUGCUAGUUUUCUUUUCACUUUUACAAACAGUGGCUGCUAUAUGUUUUGGCAGGCUUGUGCUUCUGGCUUGAUUUUACACCACCUAUUGUUAAAGGCCAUUUAGUAUUACAGUGAAAUAGUAGGUUUGGUUUGUUUAUUUACAAUGUCUCCCUUUCUUUUGGAGUUUUUCUAUUAAAUGAAAAUCUCUUUGCCCACAGAGGAGCUGUAGCAGCUUUCACUGGGAAAGUAAGUUUCUGUCAGUAUUUUUUUGUAUGUCUUCACUUUUAAAAAAGGUGUCAUGAAAAGAGCUGCAAAACCCACCAUUGCUGGCAAAGAAAAGAAAUUGUAAUCAGUUCCUUACAACAGAGUAACAAUUCUUUAAUAUUUGCACUAUUCGCUAGGAGUUCAUUCAUGUAACAACAGCACAUCCUGUGAAUCACACCUUAACGUUGUUGGAGCUUUUUAUAGUAAAAUAGAUUAAGGGUGGAGAAUUCAUAUAAAGGGACAAGAAUGUAACUCACACAUUAGUCAGUGAUUGUGAAUCAAAAUUAUUCUGGGUAAUUAAGUAAGUCUGAAGGUGUUUAAGUGCACUAAAAGAGAGCCAAGACAGUGUAAAAUACUUUUGCGCUAAAGAAAGCAUAAAUCACAGCAACUUACCCUAGAAUUUGACUCAGCCGCUGCUUAAGUUACAUACUGUGUAAAUCCAUAAAGUCAGCUACUACAGGCUCUUCAGUUUGUUGAAUGUUUUAAUUAAGGGGAUUCUGUCAAGGUAUUUCUCAUUAUUAGCAGAAUAUUGUAUACAAGAUGACUAGAGAUGGGUGAAUUCAUUUUACCUCAUUACAAGCCCAUUCAAAGAGCAUUUCUAAUCAUGAAAUAGUAUUAGUUUCUUGUUCUUUUCAGAAGAUCGCAUAGAAUAAUACCUAAUAAUAAAAUAAGGGAAGCAGAAGAGAAGAAAGCAGCAUGGGAAAACAAAUAUGAACAUAGUGUGAAGAAUGGAUUAGAUAACAUGGGAAGAAGAUCUGAAAGAAAAACUAGUAAUACAUCCUGCCCAUGGUCCAAAGAAAUAUCUGACAUGUUGUGUAGCUGGGUGUUAUUUUCUGACCUGCUAAGUAAGGUUUAAAUUGCAUUAAAGAAAUGUCUGCAAAGUCACAUUAGCUCUGCAAAACCUGUGGAUCAUAAGAAUAAUGUAAGAUGUUCACAGACAUUGAGUUUGCUCAAGACUGAUGAUAAUCCCUUGUGAAACGCAAACUGAAAUCUGUUUGCCUACCAAAAUAAGGCCUUUUUCUUACCCCCCUUCCCAUUCACAGACACAGGCAUGUUGUUGGCUUGUUAUUGUAGUUUAUGAAUCUUGGCCUUUAUUCCUGUGAAAUUAGUCUUAUCAACUUAAUCUGACAAAAUGUAAAAUUCUAUGUAAAGCUGACAGACUUGGAAAAAGUAAUAGAAACUAAAAGGAGAUAAACAUAGCUUUAUGAAA